GUAAUACAUGCAAGUCGAGCGGGGAUUAUGCUUGAUCGCUUCGGUGAGACGGCAUAUAUCCUAGCGGCGGACGGGUGAGUAAUAGGUAGGUAACCUACCUCAUACUGAGGCAUAGCUGGGAGAAAUUCCAGGUAAUUCCUCAUGAGGUUAUAUGACACAUGUGAUAUAAUCAAAGGUAUCGCAAGGUACUGGUAUGAGAUGGGCUUACUGACCAUUAGCUAGUUGGUGAGAUAAGAGCUCACCAAGGCGAAGAUGGUUAGGGGUUUGAGAGAGAGAUCCCCCACAUUGGAACUGAGAUACGGUCCAGACUCCUACGGGAGGCAGCAGUAGGGAAUAUUGGGCAAUGGGCGGAAGCCUGACCCAGCCAUGCCGCGUGAAGGAAGACGGCCUUAUGGGUUGUAAACUUCUUUACUAUGCGACUAACUAGAUUUACGAGAUAAUUCUAUAGAAUGUAGCAUAGCAAAAAGCACCGGCUAACUCCGUG
rnacentral:rRNA from 1 species